AUGAGUCUGCCCCCCGGACAGGAAAGCAGUUGGCACCUACCAACGGAGGUCUUCUUCAUCUGUCCGGAGCUGAGAAAGUCCGCCCAAGUGCGAGCAGACGCACAGCUGCAGAGGGACAGUGGAUCCAGGACAGAGCUACAAAGACCGAGGGCCACAAAGGAAGACUGCUUUAAAGACUGCCUGAGCUUAAGGAUUAGGGAAAACUCUUAUUUAAAAUUCAAAUAUUAUUCAUAAAAUAAUUACAGCAGGUGCUGCAAUACAAUCUGGUUCGAUUAGUCCUCCGUGUUCGAAGCG
rnacentral:lncRNA from 1 species